rnacentral:rRNA from 1 species
GACGAACGCUGGCGGCGUGCCUAAUACAUGCAAGUUGAGCGCUGAAGGUUGGUACUUGUACCAACUGGAUGAGCAGCGAACGGGUGAGUAACGCGUGGGGAAUCUGCCUUUGAGCGGGGGACAACAUUUGGAAACGAAUGCUAAUACCGCAUAAAAACUUUAAACACAAGUUUUAAGUUUGAAAGAUGCAAUUGCAUCACUCAAAGAUGAUCCCGCGUUGUAUUAGCUAGUUGGUGAGGUAAAGGCUCACCAAGGCGAUGAUACAUAGCCGACCUGAGAGGGUGAUCGGCCACAUUGGGACGGAGACACGGCCCAAACUCCUACGGGAGGCAGCAGUAGGGAAUCUUCGGCAAUGGACGAAAGUCUGACCGAGCAACGCCGCGUGAGUGAAGAAGGUUUUCGGAUCGUAAAACUCUGUUGGUAGAGAAGAACGUUGGUGAGAGUGGAAAGCUCAUCAAGUGACGGUAACUACCCAGAAAGGGACGGCUAACUACGU